GACGAACGCUGGCGGCGUGCUUAACACAUGCAAGUCGAACGGAAAGGCCCUGCUUUUGUGGGGUGCUCGAGCGGCGAACGGGUGAGUAACACGUGAGUAACCUGCCCUUGACUUUGGGAUAACUUCAGGAAACUGGGGCUAAUACCGGAUAGGAGCUCCUGCUGCAUGGUGGGGGUUGGAAAGUUUCGGCGGUUGGGGAUGGACUCGCGGCUUAUCAGCUUGUUGGUGGGGUAGUGGCUUACCAAGGCUUUGACGGGUAGCCGGCCUGAGAGGGUGACCGGCCACAUUGGGACUGAGAUACGGCCCAGACUCCUACGGGAGGCAGCAGUGGGGAAUAUUGCACAAUGGGCGGAAGCCUGAUGCAGCAACGCCGCGUGCGGGAUGACGGCCUUCGGGUUGUAAACCGCCUUCGCCUGUGACGAAGCGUGAGUGACGGUAAUGGGUAAAGAAGCACCGGCUAACUACGUG
rnacentral:rRNA from 1 species